AUUUUGAAACAGGAAGAAGCAUCGAUAAGAAGAUAAUUCGUAUUGUUUGCUAACCGCUAAAAAGAAGUUGUUGUUUGCCGUGUGGUCCAAGCCUGAUGCAGGGUAGUUCUGCUGGGUUGAGGGGUCCCUGCUGCAGUUUUACCAGUAAAGAAAAUGGCUGAUUACAAUUCACAUGGAGGACCACAUAAACCAGGCAGUGGUGCAUGGAGGAGCGCCAAGAGGACAUAAAGUGGAAGUUUGCAAAGGUCCAUCGUGGUGCUGGAAAUGGAGUCACUGUAAGUUAUUCUGUGGGGUGGUGAAAGGUCCUGCCUUUCAACAGAUGGACAGUAAAACUCAACAGAAUGUCAUCAAAGACUACCGGGGGAGAAUCGGAUGAAGCAAGAGAUGUAUUUUUAUUCAUCUUUGAGUAUCUGGAGGAGCUGCACACAUUCAUAUCAAAUUGUCUUGAUGAACAAGGCCUCAUGCCAUGUUCUGUGAAUAAUCUUUCAGAGCAAUGAAUCUCUCUGUGUAGCCUAUGGAUGUAGGUAUGUGUACUGCAUAACAAGAACUGUUUGUAUGCUCAUUCAACUGCUUAGACUUAUGAUAUUUGGAACAAAUAUUUUGUCACAUGAUCCUUCAGAAAUCAUUCUAUAUUCUAAUUUGCUGCUCAGUAUUAUUAUUAUUAUUAUUAUUAUUAUUAUUAUUACUAUUAUUAUUGAGUUGAAAACAGCUGAGUAGAUUUUUUUUUCAGGUUUCUUUGAUGAAUAGAAAGUUCAAAAGAACAGCAUUUAUCUGAAAUAGAAAUCUUUUGAAACAUUAUGAAUGUCUUUAUCAUCCCUUUUGUUCAAUCUAAAGCAUCCUUGCUAAAUAAAAUUAUUAAUUUCUAUAAUCUGUUAGUUCUAUAAUAAUGUAUACACACACUGACUCCAAGCUUUUGCAUGGUAUAGUGCAGGGGUGGUGAAAUCCGGUCCUGGAGAGCCGCAGCCCUGCAGAGUUCAGCUCCAACCCUAAUUAAAACUCACCUGGUUGUAGCUUUCUAGUAACCCUUAAGACCUUGUUUAGCUUGUUCAGGUGCGUUUGAUUAGGGUUGAAGUAAAAACUCUGCAGGUCUGCAGCUCUCCAGGACCGACGUUGUUACAAAAACCCCUGUUACAAAAGCCUUUUUAUUUCAGAUAAAUGCUGAUCUUUGGAUCUUUCUAUAAGAAUCCAGAAAAAAUGUACUCAACUGCUUUGAAUAUUGAUGAUAAUCAGAAAUGUUUCUUGAGCAGCAGAUAUUAGAAUAAUUUCUGAAGGAUCAAGUGACACAGAAUGAUGUAAUGAUGCUGAAAAUUUAGCUUUGAUCACAGAAAUAUAUUACACUUUAAAAUAUAUUCAAAUAGAAAGCUUAAAUUUUGCAUUAUUUUGGAUAAAAUAAAUGCAGGCUUGGUGAGCAGAAGACUCUUCUUUAAAAAAACAAUAAAAAUCUUACUGUUCAAAAACUUUUGACUGGUAGUUUAUAUUUUUGUAACAUUAUAUUUGUAAUUAUUUUUGUAAAAUAAUAAAUA